CGGUGGCAAUCAUUUUAGCCAAUGCAAUAUCAAUGUGGCCUUGUUUUGCUAAAGACAUAGACUUUGGAAUAAACUGGUCCAUAGAAGACUGCGUUGCUGUGGGUCAUGGAGUAGGUCUACUGGACAGAGUGGAUACAUCUCCACCACUAUCACUAGCAGGUCUACUGGACUGAGUGGAUACAUCUCCACCACUAUCACUAGCAGGCCUACUGGACUGAGUGGAUACAUCUCCACCACUAUCACUAGCAGGCCUACUGGACUGAGUGGAUACAUCUCCACCACUAUCACUAGCAGGCCAACUGGACUGAGUGGAUACAUCUCCACCACUAUCACUAGCAGGUCUACUGGACUGACUGGACACAUCUCCACCACUAUCACUAGCAGGUCUACUGGACUGAGUGGAUACAUCUCCACCACUAUCACUAGCAGGUCUACUGGACUGAGUGGAUACAUCUCCACCACUAUCACUAGCAGGUCUACUGGACUGACUGGACACAUCUCCACCACUAUCACUAGCAGGUCUACUGGACUGAGUGGAUACAUCUCCACCACUAUCACUAGCAGGUCUACUGGACUGAGUGGAUACAUCUCCACCACUAUCACUAGCAGGUCUACUGGACUGAGUGGAUACAUCCCCACCACUAUCACUAGCAGGUCUACUGGACUGAGUGGAUACAUCUCCACCACUAACACUAGCAGGUCUACUGGACUGAGUGGAUACAUCUCCACCACUAUCACUAGCAGGUCUACUGGACUGACUGGACACAUCUCCACCACUAUCACUAGCAGGUCUACUGGACUGAGUGGAUACAUCUCCACCACUAUC
rnacentral:lncRNA from 1 species